AAGGUAGAUUGAGCUGGGCCUGGUGGCAAA
rnacentral:piRNA from 1 species